rnacentral:rRNA from 1 species
UGGGGAAUCUUGGACAAUGGGCGAAAGCCUGAUCCAGCGACGCCGCGUGGGGGAUGAAGGCCCUCGGGUUGUAAACCCCUUUCAGCGGGGACGAAGCGAAAGUGACGGUACCCGCAGAAGAAGCCCCGGCUAACUACGUGCCAGCAGCCGCGGUAAGACGUAGGGGGCGAGCGUUGUCCGGAUUUAUUGGGCGUAAAGCGCGCGCAGGCGGCUCGGUAAGUCGGAUGUGAAAACCCGGGGCUCAACCCCGGGCCGUCAUUCGAUACUGCCGAGCUCGAGGCAGGUAGGGGAGAUUGGAAUUCCCGGUGUAGCGGUGAAAUGCGCAGAUAUCGGGAGGAACACCGGUGGCGAAGGCGGAUCUCUGGGCCUGUCCUGACGCUCAGGCGCGAAAGCUGGGGUAGCGAACAGG